rnacentral:rRNA from 1 species
UCCUGGCUUAGGACGAACGCUGGCGGCGUGCCUAACACAUGCAAGUCGAGCGAGGAGAUCCUUCGGGAUGAUCCUAGCGGCGGACGGGUGAGUAACACGUGGGCAACCUGCCUCAUAGAGAGGAAUAGCCUUCCGAAAGGGAGAUUAAUACCUCAUAACAUUGCAGUUUCGCAUGGAACAGCAAUUAAAGGAGUAAUCCGCUAUGAGAUGGGCCCGCGGCGCAUUAGCUAGUUGGUGAGGUAACGGCUCACCAAGGCGACGAUGCGUAGCCGACCUGAGAGGGUGAUCGGCCACAUUGGGACUGAGACACGGCCCAGACUCCUACGGGAGGCAGCAGUGGGGAAUAUUGCACAAUGGGGGAAACCCUGAUGCAGCCAACGCCGCGUGAGUGAUGACGGCCUUCGGGUUGUAAAGCUCUGUCUUCAGGGACGAUAAUGACGGUACCUGAGGAGGAAGCCACGGCUAACUACGUGCCAGCAGCAGC